CGUUCCGAUGCUCCGGUCACCUGCGUUUGUUCCCGGAAGCACGGACGGCGUUGGAGAGGGCUGUGCUCAUUGCAGGCUCUGAGGCCAAGAGUAGACUCAGGUCGUAGCAGCCCCCAUAGCUCCCUUCUGGGUGCAGCGCCUUCUUCACGUGCGCCAUCCCUACAGAUCACUUGCUCUGGGGAAAACUAGCUGCCGUGUUGUAAGGACACUCAAGCAGUCCUAUGAAGAAGCUCACAAAGUAAAAAACUGAAGCCUCCAGCCAAAGCCAGGGAGAAUCAAGGCCUCCUUCCAACGGUCACUGGAAAGUCUCGAAGUCUGGCCAGUGUAAUCCACUGAGCUUGGAAGCUGAUCCUUCAGCCUCAGUCCAGGCUUUAGCUGAGGGCAGCCCUGAGCUGAAGCCACUCAGCUAAGCGGCUCUUAGAUUCCUGACCUACAGGCACUAUGAGAUAAUGAACAUUUGUUGUUUUAAGCCACUACAUUUUGGGGUAAUUUGUUAACCAGCUAGAGAUAACUAAUACAGUCAGCCUCAUCCAGGGAGAAAAUGUGCUCUGGAAACUCUUGGAGAAAAGUGAGGAAGUUCUCUCCCAGAAGCCUCCAGCAAACCCUUCCUUGCAUCUGAUUGGCCCAAACUGAAUUCUAGGUCUAUCCUUCAACUAGUGACUGGCCUCUGGGUAGGAUGAGGCUGAGAACCUCAGAUCUGGGCCACUUCUGAGGGUUAGUACCCCAUAAUACGUGGGGAAAUAGGGGGGAAAUUUGGAGAACUGAACCAAAGAUGGGGGGAUUACCAAGAAGACGACCCCAAGGUUCCAUACCACGUCUCUUUAGGCUCCUUCCAAGCUCCUCUGAGUUUCUUGGAAGUGGCUCAACAGUGUUGAAAUUCUGGGUCAAGCAGAGAGAAUUUUCACUGUCAUGAGUCAUCUAUGGACCGAAAAACUCAACUGAAAGUGUUAGGAGAAAAUCAGCUUGGAUGUAUACGUGAGUUUUGUCAUGUUUUGUUUUUUGGUGAGAGCUUUAUAGAGGUAUUCACAUACCACACAGUUUACCCACUGGAAAGAUACAAUUCAAUGGUUUUUAGUAUAUUCACAGAGUUGUACAACUAUUACCACAAUUAAUUUCAGAACAUUUUCAUUUUCAUCACCCAAAAAAGAAACCCAUACCCUUUAGCUGUUGCUAAGUGCCAUCAAGUCGAUUUUGACACAUAGCAACCCCAGGUGACAGAGUAGAACUGCUUCACAGGGUUUUCUAGGCUGUAAUCUUUUUUUUUUCAAAUAAUAUUUUAUUGUGUUUCCGGUUCAGGUUUACACAACAGCUCAGGUUCCCGUUCAACAAUUUCUGCACAAGUUGUUCGGUGAUAGUGGUUACAUUCUUCACAAUGUGUGAACAUUCUCAUUAUCUCCAUUCUGGUUGCUCCAUGUCCAUUAGUCUAGUUUCUCUGCCCCCUUUACCUUCUCAUCUUUGUUUUAAAGUAAUUGCUGACUGUUUGGUCUCAUGUAAGUGAUUUUUUUAAAGGAGCACAGUACUUAUGGGUGAUAUUCAUUAUUUUUUAAGCCAGUUUAUUAUUUAGCUACAAGGUGGCCUCAGGGGUUAGUUUCAGUUUCAGGUUUGAAGAACAUCUCAGGGCAGUAGUCUUAGAGAGUCCUCCAGUCUCAACCAAUCCAGUAAGUCUGUGUUUUUUUUUUAGGAAUUUGAGCUUCCGUUGCACAUUUUUCUGCCAUUCUAUCAGAGUCCAUCUAGUGUGGUCCUGAUUAGAAUGGUCAGUAGUGGUAGCUGGGUACCACCUAGUUCUUCUGGUCUCGGGGUAGAUGAGACUGUAAUUUAGUGUAGACUUUUUGUCUUGUAGACUUAUUUCUUCUUUGAGUCUUUGGUUUCUGUUGUGGAUUGAAUUGUGUCCCCCCAAAAUGUAUGUCAACUUGGCUAGGCCACGAUUCCCAGUAUUAUGUGAUUGUCCACCAUUUUGUAAUCUGAUGUGAUUUUUCUAUGUGUUGUAAAUCCUAUGAUGUUAACGACGGAGGAUUAGAGGCAGUUAUGUUAAUGAGACAGGACUCAAUCUUCAGGAUUAGGUUGUAUGUGGAGUCAAUCUUUUUUGAGAUAUAAAAGACAGAAUCAAGCAGAGAGGAGGUGGACCUCAUUACCACCAAGCAAGAAAGGCCAGGAACAUGCGUAUCAUUUGGACCUGGGGUCCCUGCCCUGAGAAGCUUCUAGACCAGUGCAGGACUGAUGACAAAGACCUUCCCCCAGAGCAGACAGAGAAAGAAAGCCUUUCCCUGGAGCUGGCACCCUGAAUUAUGAGUUCUAGCCUCCUAAACUGUGAGAGAAUAAACUUCUGUUUGUUAAACUGUACACUUGUGGUAUUUCUGUUACAGCAGCACUAGAUAACUAAGACAGUUCACUCCUUUCUCUUUUGCUUUGGAUGAGUAGAGAUCAGUAGUUGUAUCCUAGAUGGCCGCUCAAGAGUUUUUAAGACUCCAGACACUACUCAUCAAACUAGGAUGUAGAAUAUGACUUUAUAAACUAUAUUAUGCCAGUUGCCAGUUGACUGAGAUAUCCCACAAGUCUGUGCUCCUAACCCUUCAAACCCAGAAAUCCAAUCUCAAGAGGUAUUUGGUUAUGUCUAAGAAGUACCCGUAACUGUGCCCCCUAUGCGUUUUAUUGUACGUCUGAAUACAUGCACGUACGGUCACAUAGAUGCAUAUACAUAUACAUAUGCAUACAUCUACAUGUACACACACAUACGUAGGCUGUAAUCUUUACAGAAGCAGAUUGUCAGGCUUUUCUUCCAUGGAGCCACUGGGUGGGUUUGAACUGCCAAAGUUUCAGUUAGCAGCCAAGUGCUUAACGGUUGUGUCACCAGAGCUCCCCUCCCAGCUGUAGGCAACUAAUUAAUCUGCUUUAUGUCUCUUCUCCGUGUGUUUUAAAUACGUGCUUUGUUUGUCUGAAAGCAGCAGAUAAGAUAUUUGAAAAAAACGGAGAAAAGUAAUUUUCUCUAAUACAAACUAUAAGGUGUGGGGUAGAAUGUUACAAUGGAACAUUGCUUGUGUGUGUUUUCUGACAGACACUUUUUUAAUCAAAUGGGCUAUAGUUUUGCUGAAAUGGUUUGACAGCUCUAUUGUCAUUGAUCCUUGAUGUUUGGGAAGGUGGUGGGUGUAGGCAGGAUGUAUGUGGGGGCUGACCUGGGCUUGGAAGAGGGGAGGGAGGACAGGUCUAAGGGGUAGUAUGGUGGUUGGGGUUGUGCAAACAGAGCAGGAGAGGAAAACCACAGAGACCCAGAGGGCUGACACGGAGGACUUGACAUUCCGGUACAAUGGUGACCUGGUUUGCCAAGGUCUUGGAGCAAGCCCAGACUAGCCUGACCACGAACCUCAGCUUUAGGUGCUCAGGGCCCCUUCUUUAGUCAGCCAGGCUGAAUCACGGCCCCAGAUCAGGGUCAGCUACGGAGGAAUGACGAGGAUUAGGGUUCAAAGGUGAAAUCCCUUUGAUUGUCCAAGUUCUGAACUUCAAGGCCUGAGUGAUGAAGGUCUCCUCCGGCCUUCUCUGUCUCUGUGAGCCAGGAGCCUGCUCUUGACUUCCCAGCUGCCCUCACACAACGCAGGCUGAGAGGAGGAGCCAGCCAUGCUUCUCUGAGUGGCCACACUUGACUCUGGCCCCAGUGGCUCUUUGGUGGACUUGAGCCUGACUUCAGGCCCACCUCUGCCUCUGCUUCCCUCUAGAGACCUGGGGAAGGUUUCUAUUACUCUCUGGAUCUCAGUCUCCCCAUCUGUACAAUGGGGGUACAAAUGAAUGACCCCUCAGGGCUUUUCCAGGUCUCUCUUCCUACAAGACCUAGUUUGGUUUAAAAUAAUGUUAAGUCAUCAUUCUACAGUUUGCAGGGUGUCCUGUUACAUUGCUUACUGCUCUCAUUUAGUGUCAUUUAGAGGCUGGUGGCAUAGUGGUUAAGUGCUAUGGCUGCUAACCAAAAGGUCAGCAGUUCUAAUCUGCCAGGUGCUCCUUGGAAACUCUUAUGGGGCAGUUCUGCUCUGUCCUAUAGGGUUGCUAUGAGUCAAAAUCGACUCGACAUCACUGGUUUGGUUUGGUUUGGUUUAGAGCCACAUCUCAGCAGCAUGGCCAGGAGUCUGAGAUCCCAGGCCUGGGGGAGGGACUGCUAGAGUUUGAGUCACAGCUUUGUUGUUGGUGAGUGCUGGGCCUUUGGGCAAAUACCCAUCCUGUCUCUGCCCCAGUUUCCUUCUCUGUAGAACAGAAUGCAUUAGAACCUAUCUCAUAGGGGUGUGUGCAGAUUAAAUGGGAUAAUGCCUGUAAAGUGCCCUGUACAUAGUAGCCAUUCAAUAUAUUCUAUCAACACAGGUGUGAAGAGUUGUGGGAUUCCCCAGACUACCCAGGCAAGGUGCUGUCUCUACCGCAUCGUGCCACUUGUCCCCCGGGGGUGUAGGGGAAAGCCACGAUCUUCUGGAUGUUCCUGAAUCCAAAUGCUUGAGAGGGCAGGCUGACCGGGGACACUUCUCUCCUAUGCUUGGGCAGAUGGUCUGGUUUGGUGGCUGUCAUGGAUUGAAUUGUGUCCCUCCAAAAUAUCUGUCAAUUUAGCUAGGCUAUGAUUCUCAGUAUUGUGUGAUUGUCCACCAUUUUAUGUGAUUGUCCACUAUUUUAUGUGAUUUUCCUGUAUGUUGUAAAUCCUAUCACUACGAUGUAAUAAGAUGGAUUAGCUGCAAUUAUAUUGAUGAGGUCUAUAAGAUUAGGUAGUGUCUUAAGCCAAUUGCUUUUGAGAUAUAAAAGGAAGAAGGGAGCAGAGAGACAUGGGGACCUCAUACCACAAAGAAAGCAGUGCCGGGAGCAUUGCGUGUCCUUUGGACUGAGGCUCUUGCACUGAGAUGCUCCCAGACCAAAGGAAGACUGAUGCAUCACAAGGACCUUCCUUCAGAGCUGACACAGAGAGAAAGCCUUUCUCUGGAGCCAAUGCUCUGAAUUUGGACUUGUAGCCUGCUAGACUGUGAGAGAAUAAAUUUCUCUUUGUUACACCCAUCGACUUGUGGUAUUUCUGUUAUAGCAGCACUAGAUGACCAAGAUAGUGGCCAUUGGUGGCAUGCUGAAGGGAGCUUUGGAGGAAUUCUGGAGCAGCAGGCUACAGAGGGUGCCUAGGCCAGCUCUAAUCCAGGAGGCCAGGAUGAGACAGGGGUAUGGUGGCCUGUGAGGUGAGCCUCUGGCAGCUGGGCAAGGCCAUGUCUUGUUCACUGGAGACCCUGUUCUUUCCUCUUGCAGAGGAAGUGUGGAUGAGGGCUUGGAGAGCUUGAUUCAUCCGAUGACAAUGCUGCAAUAUAUUGCUCCACAUAACCAACAUAAAUAUAUACUCUAGUGUUUGCAUUUUGUUGGCGAUGUUUUCAGCUUCUCCUUUGGUAUUUUCUUUUUGUGUCUGGUCUUCAGCAAUAUUUUCUAAAGCAUCUAGAAUCUGAGUGUACGAUUCCAGAAUUGCACUCAUUGCUACAGCAUGUGCUUUCCAACUUGUGUUAGAAAGACAUUUUGAUACUUGGUAGAAAUAUAGUCCCCAGGGAGUCAUUUCCCUUCUUUCAGUCUGUCCCUCCCCUCCUCAUCCUGAGCCCUGCCCAUCAUGGAUGGGCAUGGUAUGGUCCAUAAAGAGCUUUCUCUGAGGCUCACCUUACUCCUGUACCCACUGGCCUCAUCCCCACUCUAACCCCCUCCCCCUGGGCCUGCCUCGCCGGCUCCCACUUGGUCUGUCCCCUCAGCUGCCAUUAAGUUGGUUCUGACUCAUGGUGACCCCGUGUGUGUCAGGGUAGAACUUUGCUGCAUAUGGUUUUCAAUGACUAAUUUUUCAGAAGUAGAUCACCAGGCCUUUCUUCUGAGGUGCCUCUGGAGGUACUUGAACUGUCCAACUUUUCCGUUAGCUGCUGAGUACCUUAACUGUUGUACCAGCCAGGGACUCCUCACCCAGGCCAGAUUAAGGCAUGUGAGGGCCCUAACCACUGUGGUGCCCCUCCUCUACUUGCUUACGAAUUCGAAUGGGAUAUGUGAGUUAUUUAUAUCCAUGGGUGUGUCUCAGCUACUCCAUGAUAUAGCUUCUUUUUAAAUGUGACUAUAAUAUUAGCAACUGAAUGCGAAAGUGGCGCAUGCCAUUUUAGCAGGAUGGGAUGAACCGGGUUAUAAAAUUUUAGUUGGAUGCAGAGUACUAAGAUUUUUAUUACAUACCACAUUUUCUACAAAAAGAAUAUUCCACAUAUUCCACGACAAAGAGAAUGAGUCAGCGAACUCAGUUGUUUCCACAAUCAAUGUAAAAUUCUGAUCUCCCCAACAAAAAAUUGACUUUCACCGAUUUUUGCUUUAAAUGGCUACUUCAAUUUUGAUGCCUUGUUUCAUAGUAAAUACUAUAAUUAUAGAUGAACAAAUGAAAAGGUGUCAUAAAAGAAAAUAUAAUGAUCAGGAACCGAAUAUUACAGCAAAUUACUAUAUUUUAGUUUUAGAUAGAUCUUUCAUCUCUAACGUGUUAUAAUUAAAAAUAUUUCUUUCUAGUCUUAGCUCUUACAAAUUUUUCAAUGAUUUCAUCACAAUUAAGCUGCCAAAUAGUAUCUAUUUCCAUACAUAAUAAAGAUACUGAAUUGAGUCUUUCUUCAAUCAUUAUUGUACGCUGAGGAGUUUUGAGUCUCUUUAGGGACGAAAAUGAGCAUUCUGUUGUACAGUUUGUGAUCAUUAAAGUUAGGGAUAUGUGUCAAGCAAUUUCAACACUGGGAAAUACGCAUCGUAUUUUAUACUGUGGAAUCAUACAAGCCUACAUGAGUAAAAUUUGUCUUUCCUGAAUCUGUAAACUUAGAUCUCAUGUGAGAAUGAAAUGGUUGCACUUCUCUGUAAAGGUCUGUACUUAAGUCAUCGGGAUAAACUUGCACUAAUCUCUUGGAUGCCUUCAUGCAUUCUUCAUCAGGUACAUCCACGUUGUUGAAGAAGAAAAAUAUAUUUGAAAGAACUUCGUACACUUUCGCCUUUCUUUUCAUGCAAGAUUCAAGUGUGUCAAUUAUGGUCAAUGAUUUUGAUACGUGGUUACUCAGAACUGAUCUCUGGCACUCAAUGAUACUUCUGGAGCACUUCUGUCAGUUACUUGUUUCUUCGUAAUGCUUCUGCGACAGUGAUCUGCUUGAUAAAUCUGUAUAUGGCAGUUUUCGUUUUGUUGUGUUUUCAAAAUUUUGAAAACCUUCUCUUAAAUUAUGUAAAUACCCUGUUGAUGACUGGUAGAGAUCUGUACAUGUCUUUAAAUUUACUUCUGAAUCUUGGAGAUCUUGAUUCAUCCGAUGAAAAUGCUGCAAUAUAUUGUUCCACAUAACCAACAUAAAUAUAUACUCGUGUUUGCAUUUUGUUGGUGAUGUCUUCAGCUUCUCCUUUGGUAUUUUCUUUUUGUGUCUGGUUUUCAGCAAUAUUUUCUGAAGCAUCUAGAAUCUGAGUGUACGAUUCCAGGAUUGCACUCGUUGCUACAGCAUGUGCUUUCCAACAUGUGUUAGAAAGACAUUUUGAUGCUUGGCCAUUGCCUAAAUAUGUUUUAAGAACUGCCCAUCAGUGGGUAGAGGUGGCAAAAAAUGUGUAAAGUAACCGAACAGUAGGAAAAAAACCAACUGCUUCCAGACAUCAAUCUAUUGCACUGUGUGAACGCUGAGCACAUGGUAUGAAAAUGGCAUAUUAAUUAUGUUCUAAAAUUUUCUGUUGCAUGCCUUUAUAACACCCUGACAUAUUGGCAGCAUUGUUAUAGGACUGGCCUCUGCACUUAGAAAAUCAGUUUUGCAAACUUCACAUAAUGAAAUAUCUGGUUUGCAAUUUCUUCACCAGUAGUUUUUUUUUUUUUUUAAUGGCUUUUUAAGCUUGUAAUUGUGAAAAAUUGCUCGACAAGUUUUCCAUCUAUUGGAGAUAUGAUUCUUAAAACAGUACUUAGCUGAUCUGUAUGAGAAAGAUCGGGGUGGAAUCUACAGACAAACUGAAAUAUUGAGCUAUAUAUAUAUAUAUUUUUAUUAACUUUUAUUGAGCUUCAAGUGAACGUUUACAAAUCAAGUCAGACUGUCACAUGUAAGUUUAUAUACACCUUACUCCGUUCUCCCACCUGCUCUCCCCCUAAUGAGUCAGCCCUUCCAGUCUCUCCUUUCGUGACAAUUUUGCCAGCUUCCAACUCUCUCUAUCCUCCCAUCCCCCCUCCAGACAGGAGAUGCCAACACAGUCUCAAGUGUCCACCUGAUAUAAAUAGCUCACUCUUCAUCAGCAUCUCGAUAUAAAUAGCUCACUCUUCAUCAGCAUCUCUCUCCUACCCACUGUCCAGUGCCUUUCAUGUCUGCUGAGUUGUCUUCGGGAAUGGUUCCUGUCCUGGGCCAACAGAAGGUUUGGGGACCAUGACCGCCGGGAUGCCUCUAGUCUCAGUCAGACCAUUAAGUAUGGUCUUUUUGUGCGAAUUUGGGGUCUGCAUCCCACUGAUCUCCUGCUCCCUCAGGGGUUCUCUGUUGUGCUCCCCGCCAGGCCAGCCAUCGGUUGUAGCCAGGCACCAUCUAGUUCUUCUGGUCUCAGGAUGAUGCAAGUCUCUAGUCCAUGUGGCCCUUUCUGUCUCUUGGGCUCUUAGUUAUCGUGUGACCUUGGUGUUCUUCAUUCUCCUUUGAUCCAGGUGGGUUGAGACCCAUUGAUGCAUCUUAAAUGGCCGCUUGUUAGCAUUUAAGACCCCAGACGCCACAUUUCAAAGUGGGAUGCAGAAUGUUUUCAUAAUAGAAUUAUUUUGCCAAUUGACUUAGAAGUCCCCUUAAGCCAUAGUCCCCAAACCCCCACCCUUGCUCCGCUGACCUUUGAAGUAUUCAGUUUAUCCCUGAGCUAUAUUUAUUUCACUGAAAAUCACUGAUCUAACUUUAUUACUUAUUAAGCUUAUUAAUUCUUCACAUGUUGUUUUAGACAUAUAUGAUGGGUUGCCCUUUCCUGUUACCAUAUUUUGAGGUGAGAUCUGCUAAAAAUGGAUCAAAUUGAGCAACAAGUUCAAGUAAACACAAAAAAUUUCCAUUUUGUGGGGACCCAAACACUUAAUUUCUUCAAUAAUGCAUUGCAAAACAACUUUUCAGUUCUGACGUUCUUCAUUAAUUUGUGUUUCCAGUUCAUGAGUUAAGCUAAAACCAUGUCUUUGGUUUAAAUAUGACAACAUACAAUCUUUGUGAAUUGAACUGUUUUCAUGUUUACCGAUCAUGUACAUAUUAGAGUUGCACCAAUCACUAAAUCCAUCUGUAGCAAAUUGAGAAUUAACUGAUUUAGGGCUGAAGAGUUUGCAAACAAAACAAUAUACAGAGCUGACUAAUGGAGAAUACAGAAGCCACUCCCUCUUAUAGUUCUCACCAAUAGCUUUGCACCCUAGAAAUAUAUUCCAGCUACAGAACUUUGUUUUCUUUUACCAUCCUGAAAUUUUCGAUACAAAUUUUCAAAUGGUCCAUUGUGAUGCUGACAAUCACUUGGCCCUCUCUUUCAAUCCAAUAAUUUACAUCAUUAUAAGAAAACUUACCCACAAAGCAGGAUCUGUAGUUCUGUUGUUUACGGGGUCUGCAGAUGUGACAAUUUCAGAUACUAAAAUAGUUUCACUUUCUAUACAAUUAUUGAUUUUUUUUUACAACAGCAAGGAAUGGGUGCAGAAUUUGGAACAAGUUCUGUUAUAUUUGUACUGCUAUUAGUAAUUUUGGAGCCCUGGUGGUGCAGUGGUUAAGCGUUUGGCUGCUAUCCAAAAGGUCUGAAGUUCUAAUCCAGCAGCCGCUCCUUGGAAACUCUAUGGGGCAGUUCUACUCUGUCCUAUAGUGUCGCUAGGAGUCAGAAUUGACUCGAUGGCAAUGGUUUUUUUUUUGUUUGGUUGGUUUUAUUAGUAAUUUCAGAACUAGCGGUACUAGUACAACUAUUUGUACCCAUUAAGCCAGAGGGUUUAAUGGAGGAUUCUGUUCUGCUUCAUUAUUCAUUACAUUUUAAAAAGGAAGUUAAUUUUGGAAUUAUCUUUAGGGAUUCAAAAAUCCUUUUCUUUUUAUCUUCUUUGAGAUUUUGCUUUUGUGCUCCACUUCGUUGUCACCAUUUCAUUUUAGCUGGAUGUAAAAUUAUGUCACUUUUUUUCUUUUUUGUUUUAUCAUACUUUAGAUGAAGGUUUACAGAACAAACUAGUUUCUCAUCAAAUAGUUAGUACACACAUUGUUCUAUGAUAUUGAUUAACAACCCCACAUGUCAACACUCUCUCUUCUCAACCCUAGGUCUCAUAUUACCAGCUUUCCUGUUCUCUCCUGCCUUCCAGUCCCUGCCUCAGGACAGGUGCAUCCCUUUAGUCUUGUUUUGUUCCAUGGGCCUGUUCAAUCUUUGGCUGAAGGGUGAGCCUCAGGAGUGACCUCAUUACUGAGCUGAAAGGGUGUCAGAGGACCAUACUCUCAGGGUUUCUUAACUCUCUGUCAGGCCAGCAAGUCUGGUCUUUCUUUCGAAGUUAGAAUUUUGUUCUACAUUUUUCUCCAGCUCUGUCUGAGACCCUCUAUUGUGAUCCCUGUCAGAGCAGUCAGUGGUGGUAGUCAGGCACCAUCUCAUCAUUCUGGGCUCAGUCUGGUGGAGGCCGUGGUAGAUGUGCUCCGUUAGUCCUUUGGACUAAUCUUUCCCUUGUAUAUUUAGUUUUCUUCAUUCUUCCUUGCUCCCGAAGGGGUGACCAGUGAAGUAUCCUAGAUGGCUGCUCACAAGCUUUUAAGACUCCAGAAGCUACUCACCAAAGUAAUAGAACAUAUUCUUUAUAAACUCUGUUAUGCCAAUUGAGCUAGAUAUUCCCCAAGAUCAUGGUCCCCACAGCCCUCAGCCCAGCAACUCGGUCCCUCAGGGAGUUUGGAGGUGUCUAUGGAGCUACCGUGACCUUGCCUCGUACAGGUUGUGCUGGCUUCCCCAGUAUUGUGUACUGUCUUACCUUUCACCAAAGUUUCCACUUAUCUAUUAAGUGUUUUUCCAUCUCCACCCCUCUUCUCUCUCGUAACCAUCAAAGAUUGUUUCUUUUUGUAUGUAAACUUUCUCAUGAGUAUUUACAGUAGUGGUCUCUUACAAUAUUUGUUUUUUUGUGGUUUAUUUUUUCACUCAGCAUAAUGUUCUCCAGGUUCAUCCAUGUGAUAAGAUGCUUCACAGAUUCAUCGUUGUUCUUUAUCUUUGUGUAAUACUCCAUUGUGUGUAUAUACCACAGUUUGUUUACCCAUUCAUCUGUUGAUGGGCACCUAGGUUGUUUACAUCUUUUUGCUAUUGUGAACAAUGCUGCAAUGAACAUGGGUGUGCAUAUAUGUCUGUCUAUUCAUGUGAUGGCUCUUAAUUCUCUAGGAUCUAUUCCUAGGAGUGGGACUGCUGCAUCAUACGGUAUUUCUAUUUCUAGCUUUCUAAGGAAGCGCCAUAUCAUUUUCCAAAAUGAUAGUAUCAUUUUGCAUUCCCACUAGCAGUGCAUAAAUUAUGUCACUUUCUAA